CCAGACAUGCAUCCUUUUUUUUCCUACCUCCUACAAAUCUCCCACAUCUUUGCAAUAAUCUUAAACCCCAAGCACAUGGCUCAUGUUUUCUGGAUAUUCUCUGUCUUCUCUUAUCUUUGAGGCUGUACCUGCCUCAAAACUGCUUCCCAGCAUUUAUUAAAACUUUGGCCCUUGACUCAACCUCCCUCUUACCCAAGUCCUAAGAUCAUGCUGGCCAAUUUCAAGGCCCAGCUGAAUGACACACUCAGCUGUUUUGAUCAUCUCCUAUUUACCCUGUUGGUUGAGCAGGGGGGAGAGGGUUACCCACCCUAGAAUUAUGAGAAUGGCCAAAUAUGUGAUACCCAAAGCUCACAUGAUGCUCAUGAUACUCACAGCUCAAGAGAAGAGGACACCAUAAGCCAUGCAAAGGCACACGAGGUUGCACUUAGGAACAGAGUGAACAAUCAGGGGUGGUGGGAGGAAACCUUUUUAAUAACAACAGGGUGUGUGCUCUGGUUCCCCUGAUAGGAUGAUUGUCUUGUUUGAAUAAUUCUAUGGGACGGCAGGGACCGAAACCUACUACUCAGGGAUAAGCAGGAACUGUACCUAGUCCCCAUGAUAAGGAGGGUUGUGUGGCUAGGGGAUCCCAUCUCUGAGAGCAGAGUGGUGAAGGGAGCUUGUGAUUAGGCCAUGUGAGGCUGUUGUUAUUUUACCAGAUGUCAGCGCAGAGCAUAAUAUUGAGCCUUAAUUUGAGCCACACCAUCUCACUUCUCACCUCUCAAUUCCUUUAAUUCAUAAACUCCUAGGAUUUGCAACUCUGUUCUCCCUCAGUAUGGCUUACACUUUCAGUCUAAGUUCAGAAUCAUAAUCCCAACCUUCCACCUUCUUACCAUCCUUCUACUUCCAUCUUAUUGUUCCGUCAUGUCCUUUCUGGGGUGGGGGGGGGGCAGAAUCCAACUCUGACUCUAUUGUUUCUAUCUUGCUGAGAACUAUAGGAGAAAAACCACAGACUGGAUGAGAUUUGUGGUGUUAUAUUUUUAUAGUCUCUACGUGCAAGGGGAUGAAUCUCAUGACCUUGUUUUUUCAACUUGUGGAGAAGCUGUUCCAAAUUUCACUGCUAUUCUCAAAGCCCUGAUCAACCUUUCUCCAUUCAUUCUUACCAAAGUCCCUGAGAUAAAGAUUCCAUCUGCACUGCCAUCCUACCGGGAGUGAAGGAGAGGAAUAUAAUCUGGAGGAAUUCUCACCAAAGAAAGGCUCAGAAAAAGGCACACUGAUGACUAGAAAAAAAUGACAGCUGUUUUAAGACAAAGAGGAGAGAAUCCAGUCAAUGAAGUAAUGUCUCGUAUUUCAUAUACAGUAAUGGUGCUUCUUACACCUGGAAUGGUGAGAUGUGAGGUGGGCUUCCCACCCUCCUCCCCCGCCCCUGUCUAGCAGGGAAGCGUCUGCCAGUCCUUCUCACAACCAGAAGGAGAAACCUGUAACAGGUGGCAAAAAGACAGAGGUGCUCACUUUAUGAAACCAGCUUGUCUUCAAAACUAUUUAACCUGACCUCGCUAAUGGGUCUUACUGAGGUCUGAGCACCCACAGUCCCAGCGGCCAGGUCCCUGUGUUAUGUAUCUGUGCGGGACUGUAGGAGGCGAUGCAGAGCACUGACCAAAACCACCAGAGCUUUGCCAAGCUGUCAGUGUUUCCUUCUUGCUUCUGUCUCACAUCAGCAUGCUUUCCCCCAAAAUGCCUGUGCCUAGGUUUAAGUUUCCUCAUCUGUUUCCUCAUCCUCAUGAGGUUGUUGGGGGGACUCAAUUAGUUGACACUGAUGUGUGGCCCACAGAAAAUGUCUUGUAUUAGCUGCAGUGGCAUACGGUACCAUAAAAGUAUCUGGUGGAGUCAGCAGGCACAGAGAUGCUUAAGUUCAAUAGCACGAAGGACGUUUAUACAUUUUUCCUCCUCUGCCUGAUGAAUAUGCAAGUGUGAGGAAAUUGGCAAAAGGCAAAUGGAGCAUAUGGAAACAUAAGCAAUUCACUGAAAUAAAAGGAUAUUCCACAUAAUAAUAAUAGCUAAU
ensembl:lncRNA